UAUGACACGGAUCAAUGCUUGAC
rnacentral:miRNA from 1 species